rnacentral:rRNA from 1 species
AUGGAGAUCGUUACGGCCAGGAGCGGCUAUGACUAUGAGGGCCAGGAGCAGCAGCAGCACCGGGGGCGGCGGCGGCGCAAGCCCAGCGACGGGCACGUCGUGGCGCAGCUGCUCGACUCGCCGCUCCCCACGCCGCGCCGCUCCUGCUGCGGGUCGGCGGCCGGCACGCCGCGCAGCGCGCGCGCCGCGUCGCCACAGCGCACGCACGUGCCCUUCUCGUGGGAGAGCUCGCCGGGCGUGCCCAAGGCCGGCGGCGCGUCCCUGGAGCGCGGCUGGCUGCCCCCGAGGCCGCCCCCGGGGCGCGGCGGCCGGGCGUACCACGGUGGCAACACCACCACCGACGCGACGAGCAGCGACGACGACGACGACACCUUCUCCGACGCGCUCGACAGGAUCUCGUCGUCCGACCGGCUCGCCGCGCUCUCCGCCCGGCUGAGCUCCAUCGACGGCCGCGCCGCGUCGAGGCGCCUGUCCAGCUUCAUCAUGGACCGCUUCCUCCCUGCCGCCAACGCCAUCGCCAGGACGUCCACGGAGAAGCGAGCCAAGAAAUCCCCGCGCCGCGCCGCCCGCCGCUCCGAGCACCACGACGACGAGGAGGACGAGGCGCCGGCCACGGCCAGGCUCGAGACGCACACGCCACGCCGCGAGCGCCACGUCCCCGCUAUCCAGCAGGAGGAGGAGAGCUGGAAUGGCACGCCGCCGCAGGAGAUAGCGUGGCGCCAUGAGGAGGAGGCGCGAGGCGAUGAGACGCCUCCGAGGUCGUGCGGGUUCACGGUGCUCUUCCCCUGGUGCGUCAAGCCGGUGCUGUGCGGGUUCCCGUGGAGCCCGGCGCGGCCGCGGCACCCCCGCGCCUCCCCUCCUCGCCGGAGCACCACGAUGGGCGACGUCCUGGUGAAGGAGCUCGGGCUACGGAACGGCGACCCGUCGCACUGGUACGAGGAGAAGAGCAGCGGCAGUGGCAAGGAGUGGUCGAGUCCCGGCGGGCCCGGGCUGGGCAUGUCGAUCCUUGGCACGAGCAAGAGGUACUGCGCCGACGCCAGGAAGGCCCUGAGCAGACUGGCGCGAUCGGCAGCGGACGGCGGCGGCGGCGGCAGCCCGAGGAUGAGCAGGGAGAGGAGGAGCGGCAAGGCAGCCUCCUCGCCGCUGCACUCGACGUCCGGGCGGAUGCCGCAGCUGCAGCUGCAGGUGAAGCCGCCGUCCGAGUCGUGGCUCUGCCACGCGCGCGGGAGCAAUGCUGUGAAUAGCAAAAGAUGA